rnacentral:lncRNA from 1 species
CAGACCCUGAUGAUCACAAUGAUACAUUUUGUUCGUAGUUUCCUACUGAAGAAAGCUGGACACUGGUGAGAGUGACGUGUGAUGGGACCGGCCUGCUUUCCUCUAAACCCUAAAUAAACGAUGAUGAGAUCAAAGGGAAGAGAAAGGGAAAAGAGAAACUGCCAGAUCGCCCAGCGAGGCCGGCCUUCGACCAGAUCUUCUGUGAGGCAUUGUUCAGUUUGUUUGUCCUUCAAUGCAAAUGUUUCUUUCAGAAUUUUCUCAGCGUUCUGAUGUUUCCUCUUGACAGAAAGUGCAGGACUGAAGCUCGUUUGGAGGUUAAUUGGCCAACAACAGCACAAAAGAUGAUUAAUUUGGCGCACAUUCAUGAUAAAUACAGGCUGAAGAAGUUUUGGGAAGAGAAGAUCGAAAGCCACAUUCAGAGGUUGGGAAAUGAAGACUCGAGAAUGAAGAACAGCG